rnacentral:rRNA from 1 species
CCUACGGGAGGCAGCAGUGGGGGAUAUUGCACAAUGGGGGAAACCCUGAUGCAGCGACGCCGCGUGGGUGAAGAAGCGCCUCGGCGCGUAAAGCCCUGUCAACAGGGAAGAAAAUGACGGUACCUGAAGAAGAAGCCCCGGCUAACUACGUGCCAGCAGCCGCGGUAAUACGUAGGGGGCAAGCGUUAUCCGGAUUUACUGGGUGUAAAGGGGGCGCAGACGGCGAUGCAAGCCAGGAGUGAAAGCCCGGGGCCCAACCCCGGGACUGCUCUUGGAACUGCGUGGCUAGAGUGCAGGAGGGGCAGGCGGAAUUCCUGGUGUAGCGGUGAAAUGCGUAGAUAUCAGGAGGAACACCGGUGGCGAAGGCGGCCUGCUGGACUGCAACUGACGUUGAGGCCCGAAAGCGUGUGGAGCAAACAGGAUUAGAUACCCCAGUAGUC